AAGAUAAGUUUGAAAUCUUUCGCCUUUUACUAAAGAUUUCCGUGGAAGAUAAGUUUGCCUAUCCAAAAGCCAAUAAUAAUCUACUUUCUCCUUUGACUGUG
rnacentral:snRNA from 1 species